CAACAGACAAAAUCCCAAUGCAGGGGAGAAGACUCUGGCAGCAGGGUGUCAGUCCACAAGGAGCUGAGUAGAAAGGUCUGGAACAGGAACAGCUUCAUAUAUAAGAAAAAUACCAGCUAGUUUUCCCUGGGUCCUCCCAGAUCAAAGCUCUUAGCGAAAGCCCAGAGGAGAGAUGGGGCUGAUUCUCUAUGGUCUGCGUCUAGAGGGAGGCUCAUGGCCUCCCACCCAUGCAUCUGAACGUGUUCCUCUUUGCUCCUCUCCUGCCUGGCAUGAAAGAUAAAAAGAUGGCACACUGCUGGCACUGUUACCUGUAAGUAGGAAUUUCUGUGAGGGCCAUGGUUUGUUCCAUCAAGUUUAAAACAUCAAAAAAUAAAUAUGCUGCAAGCUUGGUAGCCUGUUGGAGAUUAGAGAUAUUACUGUUUCAAGCCCCGUUCCCCCCACCCAGCACUCAGGUGGCAUCUCCCAGAACAAACAGAAGCCCUGAGAGAAUGAGCAAACCAAAGGGAAGGAGCUCUUGCUACCAGCCUUCAGAACUGCCUCUAGAUAUUGAGACCACCUUUCCUGCUGGUGGGAAGAAGCAAUUUCCACCCCCCACUAGGAUACUCUGAGUAUGUUUUGUUUAUCACUCAGUCUCUUGGCUCUUUGGUUCUCCUCCAUGACUCUACUUGCUCUUCACGUCUUGGUAUAGUGGAAAGAAAAUGCCCUUUGGAAUCAGGGAGGCUUGGAUUUAAAGCUCAGCUCUUCUUCAACUGAACAGCUGAGUGAUUUUAGACAAGUUACUUAAUAUUCUCUGAAUCUCAGGACUGAGGACAGUCUGGACGGGCCCAUUUCUUCUCCAACUUCCUGUCCUUGUUUACUUAAAAGAAGGUAUCAGAAAAUUUCAGAUCCUUGCUUUAUGCUUUGGGAUCCUAGUGUUUGCAAUUUGAAUGCUUUUAACAUUCAGUUUUGGAUUCCACAUCUCAAAUUCACCAAGUUUUUAUAUUUAGACAUUAGGGUUUAAGUCUUGCCGACUGGUUCUCAAUACAGAGGGAUCUGUUGGGAGUUCUAUAACAGGAACACAUACCAAUUUCCAACUUGGCUAACCCACUGACUGAUGAAAGGGGAAGAGACGGAGCUUUUGCUUCAGCAAAGACUUCUGUUUAGUAACCAAUCUCCCAGUUUGAAGGUGAGGCCAAGGAUGUUAAACGUUAUUUGUUUAGUCAUCUGUGAAUCAGCGCUCUCUGCUCUCCACUCUCAGCCCAAACUGCAAAGGAAAUUUUAUUUGAAAUCUGCAAGAGUCCCAGCCUUGGGCAGCACAUAAACAGAGAAGAGAGAAAUGGCCUAUAAGCACAAGUGUAGAGCUUCUUAUCCCAGUCAAUACAUAUGAAAACUCAGCACAACAGACAAGAUGCGGCUAAGAAUUCAUCCAGCAAUUCAUCCUCAUGUUUAAACUAAACCAUCUACUUACCCAUUUUGUCAGAUCAGUCUCAAAGUUGGUAAGGCUUGGGGAGCUAAAUAAUAUUAUAGUAAUUCUGGAGUUGUAAUCUUUUACAAAUCCUUCAGUGCCCAACAGGCCUGAGUUAAAAUGUGUAAGUAGAGGUUUGGGGAUUUGGGGGAAAAUGGGGCUAAUGGAUUUAGGAUUUCUUUUCAGGAUGAUGAAAAUAUUUGAAAAUUGAUUGUGGUGAUGGCUGGUUGAGCAGUGGUGAAUAUACUAAAAAGCAAUGAAUUGUAAACUUUA